CCUACGGGUGGCAGCAGUGAGGAAUAUUGGUCAAUGGGCGCGAGCCUGAACCAGCCAAGUAGCGUGAAGGAUGACUGCCCUACGGGUUGAAAACUUCUUUUAUAAAGGAAUAAAGUGAGGCACGUGUGAAUUUUUGUAUGUACUUUAAGAAUAAGAAUCGGCUAACUCCGUGCCAGCAGCCGCGGUAAUACGGAGGGUACGAGCGUUAUCCGGAUUUAUUGGGUUUAAAGGGAGCGUAGCUGGGUAGUUAAGUCAGUUGUGAAAGUCUGCGGCUCAACCGGAAAAGUGCAAUUGAUACUGACUGUCUAGAGUACAGUUGAGGUAGGCGGAAUUCGUGGUGUAGCGGUGAAAUGCUUAGAUAUCACGAAGAACUCCGAUUGCGAAGGCAGCUUACUAGACUGCUACUGACGCUGAUGCACGAAAGUGUGGGUAUCAAACAGGAUUAGAUACCCGAGUAGUC
rnacentral:rRNA from 1 species